rnacentral:rRNA from 1 species
GACGAACGCUGGCGGCGUGCUUAACACAUGCAAGUCGAACGAAGUGGCGAACGGGUGAGUAAUACGUGGGUAACCUGCCCUCCUUUUUGGGAUAAGCCUUGGAAACGGGGUCUAAUACCGAAUAAAGGGGGAUGGGCUCGCGGCCUAUCAGGUUGUUGGUGGGGUGAUGGCCUACCAAGGCGGUGACGGGUAGCCGGCCUGAGAGGGUGAACGGCCACAUUGGGACGGAGAUACGGCCCAGAGUACUAAGGGAGGGAGCAGUGGGGGAUAGUGCACAAUGGGCGAAAGACUGAUGCAGCGACGCCGCGUGGGGGAUGAAGGCUUUCGGGUUGUAAACCUCGUGCGCUAUCGAGCGGGUAGGUGGAGAAGAAGCGCCGGCUAACUACGUGCCAGCAGCCGCGGUAAUUC